ACCCACUUGAGGAGGCAAUCUGUCUCUUAUCAGAGCUCAAGCACUGUGCUGGGAGAAUCCCCCUUGACAGGUCAGCUGCUCUCUUCAGAGCUGGCAGGCAAGAAAGUUUAAAUCUGCUGAAACUGUGCCCACAGCCACCCCUUCCCCCAGGUGCUCUCUCACAGGAAGAUGGGAGUUUUAUCUAUAAGCCCCUGACUGGGACUGUUGCCUUUCUUUCAGAGUUGCUCUGCCCAGCGAAGAGGAAUCUAGACAGGGAGUCUGGCCACAGCCACUUUGUCGCACUGUGUUGAGUUCCACCCAGUCUGAACUUCCAGGCUUCUUUAGCACUGUUAGGGGAAAACCGUCUACUCAAGCCUCAGUAAUGGCGGAUGUGCCCCCCACACACACACCAAGCUCGAUCAUCCCUGGUCGACUUCAGACUGCUGUGCUGGCAGUUAGAAUUUCAAGCCAGUAGUUCUUAGCUUGCUGGGCUCCGUGGAAUUGGGACCCACUGAGCGAGACCACUUGGCUCCCUGUCUUCAGCCCCCUUUCCAGUGCCUGGAACGUAAGGAAGUGCAAAAAGAAGAAGGAAGAAGAGAAGGAGGAGGAGGAAGAAAAGGUA
rnacentral:lncRNA from 10 species